UGAAUCAUUUCGACAGCUUGAUAAAUUUUGCCGCGAUAAAUUCGAUCGCAUUAACUUUCCAAGACAUAUUUGUCAAAAGAUGUAUUCGAAGAAACACGCCGGGACGCGUCAAAUACCAUUGAUAAGUGGUUGAUUGAUGCUUACUAAAAUGGUCAUGGAUUGUAAAUGCACGCUGGUCGAGCAGUGCUACUCGUGACUCAGUGCUGAACCGCGCUCAUGAAUAAGGACUCCCAUUGGGUUUAGAACUAGUCAGGCAUCCUCGAAUUUAAAUCGAUAAAAACUAAUCUGUACCUGAAGAAGUUGGAGCAAACAAGACACAUUUAGAAAACUUUAUUAAAAUCGAUCGAGCGGUUUUGGAGAUUAACGUGAAUGAACAUAGUGACACCUUCGCCCUUGUCACGUAGGAUUUCAAUAUUCAAAAUAUGGGUAAAACGACACGUGUUGGUUGACCAUAAUUAUACCCAGUCGAAAUCACCUACAUACCUUAAAUGGGAUUGUUGUUAUUCUGUAAAUUGAAUUAUCAAUAAUUUGAAUUGAUAUACACAAGUUUGUUCACAACUACCUGUUAAUAUAUAGAAUUUGUACAUUUUUUGUUGUUAGCGAUACAUUAGUACGCGUAACAAUAAGUACAAAAGUCUUCAUAUGACAUAAUAUUAUUUAUAGUAUUAGUCAUAGAAAAGUUACAAGUAAAAAAUUAUUCGCUCUGUCUAUCUUGAUAUUGAAUUCAAGUGAUAUUGAUUUAGUAUUCCUUUUCUACAA